AUUCCAGCUCCAAUAGCGUAUAUUAAAGUUGUUGCAGUUAAAAAGCUCGUAGUUGGAUUUCUGGGCUGAGCGACCGGUCCGCCGCUGUGCGGUGUGUACUCGGGUGCGUCUCGGCUCAUCCUUGCAGGGAACGACAUUCGGCCUUAAUUGGUCGAGGUCGGGAAUUGCAUCGUUUACUGUGAAAAAAUUAGAGUGUUUAAAGCAGGCUUAUGCUGUGAAUACAUUAGCAUGGAAUAAUAAGAUAGGACUUUGGUUCUAUUUUGUUGGUAGGAGGCCAAGGUAAUGAUUAAUAGGGUCAGUUGGGGGUAUUCGUAUUCCGUUGUCAGAGGUGAAAUUCUUGGAUUUACGGAAGACGAACGACUGCGAAAGCAUUUACCAAGGAUGUUUUCAUUG
rnacentral:rRNA from 1 species